UACGUAGGCAGCAAGCGUUGUUCGGAGUUACUGGGCGUAAAGAGUGCGUAGGUGGUGCCCUAAGUCUGUUGUGAAAUCUCCCGGCUUAACUGGGAGGGUGCGGUGGAAACUGGGGUGCUUGAGUGUGGGAGAGGUAAGCGGAAUUCCUGGUGUAGCGGUGAAAUGCGUAGAUAUCUGGAGGAAUACCGGUGGCGAAGGCGGCAUCCUGGACCGACAUUGACGCUGAUGAGCGAAAGCUAGGGGAGCAAACGGG
rnacentral:rRNA from 1 species